GUUCAGCUUGUCUAGUGGACAUGGCAUUUGCCCGGUAAGCAGAACACUGUGGGUUCGAUUCCCAUCCCUGGAUA
rnacentral:tRNA from 1 species